AGAGUUUGAUCAUGGCUCAGAUUGAACGCUGGCGGCAGGCCUAACACAUGCAAGUCGAGCGGUAACAGGGAGUAGCUUGCUACUCCGCUGACGAGCGGCGGACGGGUGAGUAAUGUCUGGGGAUCUGCCUGAUGGAGGGGGAUAACUACUGGAAACGGUAGCUAAUACCGCAUAACGUCGCAAGACCAAAGAGGGGGACCUUCGGGCCUCUUGCCAUCGGAUGAACCCAGAUGGGAUUAGCUAGUAGGUGGGGUAAUGGCUCACCUAGGCGACGAUCCCUAGCUGGUCUGAGAGGAUGACCAGCCACACUGGAACUGAGACACGGUCCAGACUCCUACGGGAGGCAGCAGUGGGGAAUAUUGCACAAUGGGCGCAAGCCUGAUGCAGCCAUGCCGCGUGUGUGAAGAAGGCCUUCGGGUUGUAAAGCACUUUCAGCGAGGAGGAAGGCAUUAAGGUUAAUAACCUUGGUGAUUGACGUUACUCGCAGAAGAAGCACCGGCUAACUCCGUGCCAGCCGCCGCGGUAAUUCA
rnacentral:rRNA from 1 species